rnacentral:rRNA from 1 species
AGGAUUAACGCUGGCGGCGUGCCUGACACAUGCAAGUCGAACGAGGCCGCAAGGCCGAGUGGCGGACGGGUGAGUAACACGUGACCAACCAACCUCGAAGUUGGGAAUAGCUCUGCGAAAGUAGGGGUAAUACCGAAUGUGGCCCAGGGCGGGCAUCCGCCUUGGUCUAAAGAUUCAUCGCUUCGAGACGGGGUCGCGGCCUAUUAGCUUGUUGGUGAGGUAACGGCUCACCAAGGCGAUGAUGGGUAGCUGGUCUGAGAGGACGACCAGCCACACUGGGACUGAGACACGGCCCAGACUCCUACGGAGGCAGCAGUGAGGAAUCUUCCGCAAUGGGCGAAAAGCCUGACGGAGCAACGCCGCGUGUGGGAUGAAGACUCUAGGGUUGUAAACCACUGUCGGAGGGGACGAUCGUGACGGUACCCUCCAAGAAAGCCCCGGCUAACUACGCGCCAGUAGCCGC